UACGUAGGGUGCGAGCGUUAAUCGGAAUUACUGGGCGUAAAGCGCGUGUAGGCGGCUUCGCAAGUCGGGUGUGAAAGCCCUGGGCUCAACCCAGGAAGUGCACUCGAUACUGCGGAGCUGGAGUCCCGGAGAGGAUAGCGGAAUUCUCGGUGUAGAGGUGAAAUUCGUAGAUAUCGAGAGGAACACCGGUGGCGAAGGCGGCUAUCUGGACGGUGACUGACGCUGAGACGCGAAAGCGUGGGGAGCAAACAGG
rnacentral:rRNA from 1 species